rnacentral:rRNA from 1 species
UACGUAGGGGGCAAGCGUUGUCCGGAUUUAUUGGGCGUAAAGAGCGUGUAGGCGGCUUGGUAGGUCUGCUGUGAAAACUCGGGGCUCAACCCCGAGACGUCGGUGGAAACCACCUGGCUAGAGUCCGGAAGAGGAGAGUGGAAUUCCAGGUGUAGCGGUGAAAUGCGUAGAUAUCAGGAGGAACACCGGUGGCGAAGGCGCUCAUCUGGCCCGAUACUGACGCUGAGGCGCGAAAGCUAGGGGAGCAAACGGG